CCGCCGCCACCCCCUCAACCCUCGCCCCCAAGAAUACAGGGAUUAAUGAGCAACAUUCUCUGCGAUAGAGAAACAAGGUUCUGUAGGAACACCAAAAUUCAAAAGGCAGUGACCUCAACAAGGAUCCUGGGGGCGAGGAGGAGGGAGGACGGGUUUCACCGAAGGCGGUAAGGAACAGAAUCGAAACUGUCUUCUGCUUAAAACAGACUGGGGCAAGCCAAGUGAGGCUGGGGAGCAGAGCCGGGCGGGUGAAUAAGGCCUGGAGGGCAAAGAGGAAGGAGGCAGCAGCAAAGGCUUAAGGAGAGUCAAAGCCCCUCUCCAUCCGGAGCUCUGAGGUACUGAGACGUGGCUGAUUCGUCCAGUCCCCAGGACCGGUUUCAGCCCCCUAAGUCUGGGGAAACUGAGAAGGGAAAGGGUCCCCGCUGACAACACGGAGAUGAAGGUAGAACCGGGCUCCCGGCCCCCUUCCGAACCAGAUGCUGCUCCCGAGCGAUGCAAAGAGAGAAAGGCAGGGGUCCAACCUCCAGCUUGCAGGUUACCUGUCUUAGCCGACUGCCCACAGGUCUCCACUUCCGCGGACUCCGGUUACUACGGGCUACCAGGCACGCGUCGAGUGACGUCAUCCACACGCGCCGGAGGCCUAGGGGGCCGCCCCUUCGGGAAAGGUGGAACGGGCCGUCAAGAAUUCCCAAAUCAUUGCAAAUAAAAGCUGGUGAUAGGACAGAAGAGAGACAAGGACAAUCGUGGAGAUGCUUAAGACGGACAGCAGGGAAGAUGGGCAGCAGGGAAGAACUUCCUGUUGGCAUCAUCUGAUCACAGUUCAAGUUUAAAAACAACUGAAGAAGAAUAAAUAACUGCACUGGGUAGUGAAGAUCUACGUAGGGGACAACAUGUUCCAAGAAUCAAUACAAAAAGGGUGAAACAAGGACUAAUUCCAUAGCAAAGAUUGUCACCAUCAGCUGAACACAAAAUUCCAAGACCUAUUUAUGUUGAUGAAAAGUUUGCAAUUUUAAAACUGUUGAAGACCAAAUAAACUAGCACCUAACAUUUCUCCAUUUACAUUGUUCUUGCCAUGAACUAUUUCUUUUAAUUCUUUUAACAAUACAAUCAUGCUUCUAAAAGUUAUAAAAAAAUAAAUAAAAGUUAUAAAAACAUCCACCCUCCCUGCCACUGUGCAACCGUUUUAGAGGAAGAUUUGCCUCCUGUCCCUUCCACUCAUAUAACCCCAUGUUUAUGAAUCAUUAUUUAAUUUUUAACAGCUUUAUCAAGGUAUAAUGGUGUACAAUAAACUGCACACAUUUGAAGUGUACAAUUUGAUAUUUUUUAUGUUGUAUAAACACAUAACAUCAUCCCAUCACCCCAGAAAGUUUUUCCUUGUCCCUUGGUAAUCCUCCUCUCCAUUCCCCCACCAGAUAACUACUGGCUUUUUAGAAAAUAUCAUUGUAAAUUAAUGUGCACAUUCAAGAAUUUCUUUUAAAUGAAAUCCUCCGUCUACUCUUUUUUUUUAUCUGACCCUUUGCAGAGUAAUUUUGAUGUAAUAAGCC
rnacentral:lncRNA from 1 species